CCUACGGGGUGCUGCAGUAGGGAAUCUUCCACAAUGGGCGAAAGCCUGAUGGAGCAACGCCGCGUGGGUGAAGAAUGUCUUCGGAUCGUAAAACCCUGUUGUUAGAGAAGAAAGUGCGUGAGAGUAACUGUUCACGUUUCGACGGUAUCUAACCAGAAAGCCACGGCUAACUACGUGCCAGCAGCCGCGGUAAUACGUAGGUGGCAAGCGUUAUCCGGAUUUAUUGGGCGUAAAGGUAACGCAGGCGGUCUUUUAAGUCUGAUGUGAAAGCCUUCGGCUUAACCGGAGUAGUGCAUUGGAAACUGGGAGACUUGAGUGCAGAAGAGGAGAGUGGAACUCCAGGUGUAGCGGUGAAAUGCGUAGAUAUUAGGAGGAACACCAGUGGCGAAGGCGGAUUGCUAGACUGUAACUGACACUGAGGCACGAAAGCGUGGGGAGCAAACAGGAUUAGAUACCCUGGUAGUC
rnacentral:rRNA from 1 species